UGGAGACACACUGAGGACAGCACUGUUACAAGUGGGCAUGGGCUUUUAUUCUCAGUGCACGGCAGUAUUGGUUUCUGCUCAUCAGCAAAAAGCUUUAUUGGUUCCAAAAAAUUAUCCCUUUUAAAACUCCUAUUCUUUCCAUCUCAGUGGAAUAAUACAUUUACAUUUCAAAUUUGCCAGUUUAUAGCAUUUUUUUUUCUAAGAACCGUAUAAAUACAUGCAAAACAUUGUACAUAGAGCUUAAAUAAUAUCAAAAUGCAAAUACAGAUUGGGUGCACUGUUAAGCUGAAUUGUAAAUUACGGCCACACACACGGGGGUAACUGCUUUGAUAUCACCAUUUGUUUGUUUAUGUCAUGCAGACCACAAUAGUCAAUCUUUUGUUUUGUUUUUCCUUUUUGUACAAAAAUACCAGUGCUUAUUAUACUAGUUACUGAAAAAAAGAAGAAACUUAAAAUUCCUAUGUGUGUGCUGAUCUGAAAAGAACAAUGUAGAUAGAUUUGUUGGCACAUAUAUAUGGCAUAUUCACAUAUGGCAUAUAUACAUAUGGGGAGAAAACAUAAACCAGGGGCCAAUUCAGUUACAGGGAGCUCAUCUGCCUCCAUCUCUCCUAAUCAAGAGGAAGGGGGACAGCAGUCCUAAGAGCAGGGUUGGGAAGACAAAAGGACUGGCACUAAAUGGAAGGGUAUCUGAUCUAUUCUGAGGAAGAGGCUGGAAUGGCUUAAGAAUAGCAGGCAUUUAUAAGUGGCCACCCUACCAAUGCAGUGGGGGGGGGCCCUCAAUACGAAAGGCAAGGCCAUGUGCACAUUGUGAUGGUACCAUGGGCUGCUUCAGUCGAAGGCAAGGGAAGCAGGAAAGAAAGGAAGGAAUGCAUUUGGAGGUUUUCUGUUCGGCACAUGGCACAUGUGAGUUUGCCACACCCCUCUGGGUUUUCAGCAAUGGGGUAAUCACUCAGAUUUAACUGUGUAAACUCUCCCCUCUGAAGCUCAAGGGGAAGAAGAAACCCAAACCCUAAUGAAUCUACAGGUGUCCAGAGGGAUUUCUAGGUGAUUUCUCUGUUAACACCUUUAGAGAUGGGAGAGUCAUUUCAGAGGACGGAAGACACCUAUGAGAAGGAUCUCUCCCCAAGACUGUCACCCAGGGCUAGGAACAGCCAUUGUUUUUUCCAUUUAGAGCUCUGUUCCCCAACUAAUAUACUGCACACAAUCUUUUUAGGGGAAAGAAGGAGUCACAAAUCAGAUCCUUGCACAAAAACUCACUAGUGGAGAACUCUAAGCAGAACAGGAAGUGAAAGAACCUUGAAAAUGCAAAGCUCAAAUCAGAGUAUCCUUACAGACUAGGAGAUAUUAACGUUUUUGGUACUGUGCCAGCUUUUAUCCACGAAUCACAAAUGCACUGAAGGCCUCUGAUCCUAAUCACUAGUUACAGAAGAGCCUGUCAAUCUAUUUCCAUGGGGGAGGGGAAGGGCAGGGGAGGGGGGGGGAGGGACACAUUCAUUUCCUGACAGCUGUGUCCCUUCUUGCUGGAUGUUUUACUUACUAUCUGUGGUUUACUACCCGUUUUUCUAGGUUUAUCAAGAGAAGAAUCCAGGAUGAUAUUUUCUCCUUCUCCCCAUCAGACACUUUUCAAAUCAAAAGCACCAUUUUGGGGAAAAGCAUUAUUAACUUAUGCCAUAUUUACUCACUGCCGGUUGGAUCACUGAAACUGAAUAGAAAAAAUGUUAUAUAAAAAACAUAUGCACAUAAACACUUAAACUUACUCAAUUCCAUAUCAACAAAAUUUAUAUUAAAAAAGUCUAGAACCCAACAGUUUUUCCCCCCUAAGUAUAAAGAUGGCUGUUUGGAGAAAAGAAGUAUGGUGUAUUGGUUUUAAAACCAGUUACAAAUAUACUACGUCACUGGUCAUGUCAAGCAGCUGGUCAUGCUCUCCCUUCCACAGGGUUACGAGACGGCACUUUAUGUCAAAUCCUUUAAACAAAAUACAUAUGGCUGACUCAAAAUUAGUUUCUGAUCUAAAGAAAACUAUAUGUUUUUGCAUAAUAUGUCUAUAUUUUCUCUCCUACUACGGAACACAAGAAAACCGUUGACUUUUAAGAAAGUAGACACAAUCCCUCAAGAGUAACCUGCCAGGCACCGUGAGAGUCUUCUGGGAAUAGGAACGGCAAAACAGCCUCCAGAGCUUGUUAUUGGCUUGCUUUUAAGAAUGAUCUUGAGGUAAUAAAAGAUCUGACAGGAUUAAAUCUUCCAAUGUACUUAAUAAAUAUGUAUGGGUGAGCUGUUCUUUCCCCCAUCAGUAUUUAAGACAGAAAAAAGAUUCCGAAGCAUGUACCCUUUGCAAAGCCAAAAUCGAAUUUGUUUAGCUGUUUCGUACAAUGAUGGAUUAUGCAGCGAUGCCACGUGGAGGAGUUUGUGUCUUUGCUCUUCCUAACUUGGACAGCUCGGGUGAAAGGGCUAAGGGAGGUGGGAUUGAGAAGAAAAGGCUGGAGUGGAAAGGUUCAGGUCACCUUCCUCUCACACAUGGAAAUUUGGCAGCUCAUAAGAGCCUCCACCCCCUUUCCUUACUCCUGUUACUCUAGAAAAAGGGGAUGGACUUCAUUUAUGUAAUAGAAGGUGGGGAUCAGGGACAUGAAUUAGCCCCUGCACACAAGAGCUUAAGUCAACACCAGAAGGGAUAAGAAUGGAGUUCCUGCAACGUGGCUCCACCCUGUCCCAGUAAGGAACACUUAAAAGUCUCCUAGCAAAGUCCCCAGCUCCUGACACACAGAUGGGAAGAGGAUGCUUUGGGCAGCUUUCAGGGGAAAAAGGCACAGGACUUCCCAGGGCAGCAGCUAGAGCACGACUGUGGAGAGGGCAUGAGUGGGGUGUGUGAGAAAGGAGAAGAGGGGAGGAAGGGAAGCUUUUCAGGGUGGGUCUUUUGCUUCUGGAAGUCAGCAAAAUGUCUCCGGGGCCUCCCACUUUGGACGCAUGUUUUGAAAAUCAGAAUAUUUGAGAAAGGCUGGGACCUUCUCAGAGACUGGACAAGUUGUGGGACUUGAAAGAGAAUGUCAAGAUUUCUGGUCCUUGCAGGAAGAUUUUCUCGGAUUCUGCUAGAAUGGCUCUUAGGCCUCUCCCAAGACUUCUCAACACUCACCCCUCCCAACAAUCGGGUGCUGCCCUGGAAGAGCCUCGGCGGAUGGCUUUGAAAGCAGUGGUCCCCCCAAGGAGGACCCCGCAAGAGUCUGCUUUGAUUGUCAGUCUUGUCCUAGACCUGCCAGCUUCUGGUCCUUAACAGCCAAGGCCAGCUAGGAGGCAGGGUCACACCCAAUUCACUCUUUUGACACAUUUUAGGAACAGGAGAAAGCUCAGGCCUAUGGUAAAAACUGUAUCCCACACAAAUGCAAGCUUCAUGUCAAAGCUGAUCUCCCUGGACUUAAAAACCACACAUACCUGACAAGAUGGCAGUUUAGAAGUAGAAGGUAACCUGGCAACAACAAGGAAACAUUUUUACCAGCUCUUAAUUGCUUCAAAAGGACACUUUUAGCAAAGAAACCUGUCUGCUGGUAGAACUAAUCCAGGUGCUAUUGGGGCCAAAAGGGAGAACGGCCAGUUUACUCAAUUCACACAUGUCCUUUCCAUUUUCUUAAUCAUCACAACUUAAAAAAAAAAAAAAAGGGUGAAGGAAAGGAAGACAAGGGUCA